rnacentral:lncRNA from 1 species
GUGUGCCAUUCAAAGGGUGAAUGGGCAAGACAAAAUAUUGAAGUGCCUUUGAACGGGACUACAGCAUUGAAACCUGCAGGGGAACCACAUCUCAGUAGUACCAGAGGUGUUACCAAGGAACCUGCAACAGAAGGGGUAUUUGCAACACCAGCAGGUGUCUCUCAAACAAAAUUGUGAUGAACAGGACUUCAGGAAUCCCCCUGUCUCUGAGGGGUAGGAGACUGAAUACAUUAAUGGAUGUGUGGUCAAUCCAAAAAACGAUUCCCCCACUCACAUAUUCCUUGACACUGGGGCUGAGGACAGAGAGGAAUUGUAUGGAGUAUACGGUUUGCCACCACCAGAGCUUUGUUUCCUCAAUGUGGCUGACAAUAAGGUAUGUACAUUGUCAAGAUAUAUUUCGGGAGGACUAUACUGUGAGUCAGUGAAGUCCCUUGUCUCAUUAUUGCCUCCAGAUUGUCGAGGAAGAAGCAGUGUCUGUAGCUGUGUUCGUCCUAUGCUCAGUGAGAUUGUUAUUCACUCCAACCCACUGACCACACAGAAGUGGUGCCCCCCUACUGCUGACUUACUUCCUCCAGGAAAGGCUGGGUAUUAGAAUUAGGUAAAAAUGAAAAUUCCAAAGGUGCCUUUAUUGAUGCUCCUUGACGCUGCUGGCUCUCUGGAGGUGAAAGAUGUUGAAGAUCACACUAUACAAUAGUCAUCAGAUGACCCUUCCAAAAUGAGGAGUCAUUCUUUUGUGGUGGCUGCUGAGGGAAGAACUUUUCAUAACAGUGGCGGUCAGUGCUGUUUAUGAUGAGGGAGGAAUUUAUUAAUUUUUUUCCUUCGUGAGCAUGUCCUCUAUUACAGCGUGUUGGAUGACUGUCAUUCAUAUUGUAUUCACCCAGUUCAAUGUAACAUUGAUGGUUUAGGCUAUUACAUGAUUCUCAAAUUUUCCCUAUACCCACCAUGAUGUUGCUACAACCUAGUUUAUGUCAUUUAAGAUUAGACAGUGACACAUUCAAUACUGCCUUGCCUGCAUCGCUUAUCUAGUGUGUAAUUAUUAGUACAACAGUUACAAACAUGUUUCUAUUGGCCAAAUCCUAGUGUUUUCUUUAUUUUUAUCCUAAUUUUGUUUGCUUCCGUUUUAAGAAAUGUUUUUCAACAGAAUCGUCGGAAUGAAUAAACCCCUGAUCACAAAUAAACAAAGUUCAGCCUCA